CAGGGUGCAAUUGAGUGGCGUGAAUCACCGGAGACCACAGCGGCGUCCUGGCCAUGAUGGAUGUCGGUCUUUAGCGAUUGAGUUGGCUUGCGGCGGAAUGGGAUAAGUUAGACUCUGUGUGCGCACAUGAAGAAGAAAAAUAAAUAAAUAAAUAAGUAAAAUAGAAGCCCAGUUACCUCCCCUCUCACUCCCUCUCUUUAUUUUCCUUUUCCUUCACUUCUCGCACCUGAUUCUCUCCUUCUCUAUCUCUCUCUCCGAUUCCAAUCAUCUUCGCCUAACUUCUUCACCUCUGUCUAACGACUUCUAAUUUUCGCUCCAUUUUGCAUUUGCUUCGCUAAUUUUUGUUCCCUCUCAUUGAAUUCACUCGUUUCGCUUCUCUUGGUUGUUUGCCAUCGUAUUUCUCAAUCGAUUGGAUUUUAUUUUUCUUCUUUUGUUUAUGAUAUGUUACAAAUAAUGACAAUAAUUUAAAUUCAGACGGUUUGAGGCCGCUUAGGGUUUUUGUUUCUGUUAAGCUGAUCGUUGAAGAUGCUUCCAUGGGGUGGAAUUAGUUGCUGUUUGAGUGCUGCUGCGCUCUAUUUGCUUGGCAGGAGCAGUGGCAGGGAUGCAGAGGUUCUUAAAUCGGUCGCAAGAGUCAAUCAGCUGAAGGAAUUGGCAAAAUUACUUGAUAUUGAAAGCAAAGUCUUACCUUUGGUUGUUGCUAUCUCUGGAAGAGUUGGCUCAGAGACUCCAAUUAAUUGCGAGUAUAGUGGCUUGAGAGGUGUUAUAGUAGAGGAGACGGCUGAACAACACUUCCUCAAGCACAACGAUUCUGGAUCUUGGAUUCAAGAUUCAGCCUUAAUGCUAUCAAUGAGUAAAGAAGUCCCAUGGUACCUGGAUGACGGGACUGAUCGAGUAUAUGUUGUGGGGGCCCGAGGUGCCUCAGGGUUUGUGUUAACUGUUGGAAGUGAAAUUUUUGAAGAGUCAGGACGAUCACUUGUACGUGGAACAUUAGACUAUCUCCAAGGCCUCAAGAUGCUUGGUGUGAAGCGUAUCGAAAGGGUACUUCCAACUGGUACUUCAUUGACUGUGGUUGGUGAGGCCGUCAAGGAUGAUGUUGGAACUGUUCGGGUCCAGCGUCCCCACAAAGGGCCAUUUUACGUAUCUCCUAGGACUAUUGAUGAGCUCAUUGGGAAUUUGGGAAAGUGGGCAAGGUGGUAUAGAUAUGCCUCAGUCGGCUUGACAGUUUUUGGCGUUUUUCUGAUUGCCAAGCAUGCUAUACAGUAUAUCAUGGAGAGAAGGCGCCGUUGGGAAUUGCAGAGCAGGGUUCUUGCUGCUGCUGCUAAGAGACAAGAUCAAGAUUCUGAAGGUUCAAAUGGAAAAGCUGAGAAUGGAUCAGACAAUUCUAAGAGGGAACGUCCAAUUCCAGAUCUAUGUGUAAUAUGCCUUGAGCAGGAGUAUAAUGCCGUUUUUCUCCCGUGUGGCCAUAUGUGCUGUUGUACGACAUGCUCUUCACAUCUGACAAACUGUCCUCUAUGCCGGAGACGGAUAGAGCAGGUAGUGAAGACUUUCCGGCAUUGAGGAUUUGUUUCCAAGAUUUAGCAAGUGUCCCAGGUGAAGGCAAUUGUAACAAGGAGCUGAUUUUCCUGCACAUACAAGAUUUUGGUGUAAAAUCCUUUUAAUCAUGGAAUAUAUGAUCCUACUUCUGCAUGUGCUAAUAAGACGUUGAAACCCCCAAAGGUGUCAUAUGGUCAGCAUUAUGCCGUCAACAGAAUUCAAAAGCACCAUCCUUAAACGUCAAAAUAGGUCCAUCCCAGCAUUGGACUAUCUCUUCUUCUUCUUCUUCUUCUUCUGUUUUCUUUCUUUUUUUUUUUUUUUGUGUGAAAUCCCAGGAAAUAUCUUGACAUAGCCAUUAUUCUGUUGAAUUAAUCAAUAACGAGCUAAGGAUGUAUAUUGUCUUAAUUAAAAGUGAUAAUGUGUAUCUAUUUUAGUUUGGCAAAUUCAUUCGUCCACCGAGUGGAAA